rnacentral:rRNA from 1 species
GACGUAGGGUGCGAGCGUUGUCCGGAUUUAUUGGGCGUAAAGAGCUCGUAGGCGGCUCGUCGCGUCGACCGUGAAAACCCGCGGCUUAACUGCGGGCUUGCGGUUGAUACGGGCGGGCUAGAGUUCGGUAGGGGAGACUGGAAUUCCUGGUGUAGCGGUGAAAUGCGCAGAUAUCAGGAGGAACACCAAUGGCGAAAGCAGCUCUCUGGGACGGUACUGACGCUGAGACGCGAAAGCGUGGGGAGCGAACAGG